rnacentral:sRNA from 1 species
GUAGAGACAGGGUUUCACUGUGUUAGCCAGGAUGGUCUCAAUCUCUGGCCCAAGCUUUUUAAAAGUGAAAACGGUGGCCAAGCGCAGCGGCACACACCUGUAAUUCUAGCACUUCAGGAGGCCGAGAUAGAAGGAUCACUUGAGCCCAGGAAUUCGAGACCAGCCCUGAUGAUAUAAGUGGGGAAAGAGAGAGAGAGUUGCGCAUGCGCACGCUAGAGAGAAUGCCUGCCCCUCUCCAGCCUGGCCAACAGAAGGAGAUCCUGUCUCAAAAAAAGAAAGUGAAAAUGCUUCAGCUAGAAUUAUAGGAUAAUCCUGUGUGAGAUAACUUACAUAGUGACUGGAAGAGUUAUUAAAUAUUGCUUUCUUGUUGCUAAGUUCUGUAGUUGGGUUAGAUAUCCAAUGCAUAUCUAUUGUGAAAGUCAAAAGAUUCUAAUUUUUCCAGAAAAUAAUGUUGAGUUUCCAUGAAGAACAGGAAGUACUGCCAGAAACUUUCCUUGCUAAUUUCCCUUCUCUGAUAAAGAUGGACAUUCACAAAAAAGUAACUGACCCAAGUGUGGCCAAAAGCAUGAUGGCUUGCCUCCUGUCUUCACUGAAGGCUAAUGGCUCCCGGGGAGCUUUCUGUGAAGUCAGACCAGAUGAUAAAAGAAUUCUGGAAUUUUACAGCAAGUUAGGAUGUUUUGAAAUUGCCAAAAUGGAAGGAUUUCCAAAGGAUGUGGUUAUACUUGGUCGGAGCCUGUGACAUUUGUUGACACUGUGAACUGUCCAAAAGUCUCUUAACUGCACCUUGUGAGUGGUAGUUGAGGUCUUCAUACAGUUCAGCCUCUAGAGUGGUAACAAAUCAGCCAAUUGGAUUCGAAACAAAGAAGACUAUGUAAAACUCACCCAUCACACUUUCAGACUACUCACUGGUUGGAAGAAUAUAGUAUUGCAGCAAAUCCUGUAUGAAAGAGAGAUGUGGGCUUCCUUUUUGAGUCGUGUUAGGUGCUGAGACCUUUUACAUGGGCUUAUACAGGGAGAGAGUCUUCAAUAAAUGUAGUCAGCACUAUUUCCUGCAUCCAGUGUGGUUGUGUUUCUCACCUGAGAGUA